GCACCUUUGGUGGAAGAGGCUCGUCAGGCGACUCUGUUAUCUGAUUCACCUUGAGGUUGACAGUUUUGUUCCUUAGAACUUCAUGGGCAGAUGGAACAGCGACUAGUUGCAUUUCGGGGCAACCGUACCAGAGAGCAGGCAUUCAUGCGCUCGUACACAGGCAACACCAGAGAAGCUGGACUCCAUUACAUAAGUGGCAUGCCACUUUACAUUGAGGGCCACCGGAC